rnacentral:rRNA from 1 species
GAUGAACGCUAGCGGGAGGCCUAAUACAUGCAAGUCGAACGGUCAAUGGUAGCAAUACUAUGAGAGUGGCGUACGGGUGCGUAACGCGUACACAACCUGCCUUGUACUGGGGGAUAGGCUCGGGAAACUGAGAGUAAUACCCCAUAAUUUUACGAUGUGGUAUCACAUUGUAAUUAAAGCACCGGCCGUAUAUGAUGGGUGUGCCUACGAUUAGGUAGUUGGUGAGGUAAGGGCUCACCAAGCCGACGGUCGGUAGCUGGUCUGAGCGGACGAUCAGCCACACGGGCACUGAGACACGGGCCCGACUCCUACGGGAGGCAGCAGAAGGGAAUAUUGGACAAUGGACGCAAGUCUGAUCCAGCCAUCCCGCGUGAAGGAUUAAGGCCCUCUGGGUUGUAAACUUCUGUUCUUUGGGAAUAAAAAGCGGUAUUCAUAUCGCCUUGAAGGUACCAGGGGAAUAAGCACCGGCUAACUCCGUGCCAGCCGCCGCGGUAA